rnacentral:rRNA from 1 species
UACGUAGGUGGCGAGCGUUGUCCGGAAUUACUGGGUGUAAAGGGCGUGUAGGCGGGGUGUCAAGUCAGGUGUGAAAGACCGGGGCUCAACCUCGGGGAUGCAUCUGAUACUGCAGCUCUUGAGUCCCGGAGAGGCCGCUGGAAUUCCUGGUGUAGCGGUGAAAUGCGUAGAUAUACCACAGAACACCGAUUGCGAAGGCAGCUUACUAAACUGUAACUGACGCUGAGGCACGAAAGCGUGGGUAUCAAACAGG